GUUUAACUCACCACUAAUGUGAUGGCUGGAACUACUCGCCUUUGGUGAGGUGUGUGUGAUGUUGACUGGUCCUGAUAAUGUUGCUACUCGCAACAGCUUUUCCAGGUUUGCGUCACUCGGACUGGAGCGCAGUUAACACUUUGCGAUGUUCACUACAGUCACGCUUACUCGUGUGUGUGUGUGUCGCUCAGUAAAUGUAGCGAAAUAGAGGACCUAACUUCACUUUUAUGUCGUUUGUUCAGCUGUCCGUACCCCCC